UACGUAGGUGACAAGCGUUGUCCGGAAUUACUGGGCGUAAAGUGUGCGCAGGUGGCCGCGCAAGUCGAGUGUGAAAUCCCCGAGCUUAACUUGGGAAUUGCGCUCGAAACUACGUGGCUCGAGUGUGGCAGAGGAAGGUGGAGUUCCACGUGUAGCGGUGAAAUGCGUAGAGAUGUGGAGGAACACCGAUGGCGAAGGCAGCCUUCUGGGCCAACACUGACGCUCAUGCACGAAAGCGUGGGGAGCAAACGGG
rnacentral:rRNA from 1 species